UACGGAGGGUGCAAGCGUUAUCCGGAUUCACUGGGUUUAAAGGGUGCGUAGGCGGGCAGGUAAGUCAGUGGUGAAAUCUCCGAGCUUAACUUGGAAACUGCCGUUGAUACUAUCUGUCUUGAAUAUUGUGGAGGUGAGCGGAAUAUGUCAUGUAGCGGUGAAAUGCUUAGAUAUGACAUAGAACACCAAUUGCGAAGGCAGCUCGCUACACAUAUAUUGACUCUGAGGCACGAAAGCGUGGGGAUGAAACAGG
rnacentral:rRNA from 1 species